rnacentral:tRNA from 1 species
GGGACGGUGGUCUAGUUGGUUAUGACGCCAGCCUCACACGCUGGAGGUUCGAGAGUUCAAAUCUCUCUCGUCCCA